UUACGACCUUAUCACUUUGCAACAUUGGUUCUCGUACGACCACCGAAGUUAAGCAACGUCGAGCAUGGUCAGUACCUAGAUGGGUGACCUUUAUUAAUCCCGGGUGCUGGA